CAAGUCUCUGUUGUCUGUGUCUCUUCCACUCCGUGCCAUUAACUUUCGCUAUGCCUUCUCUUCUCCCUAUUCUUCAGCCUAUAAAAAAUCUUUCUAACCUCCAUUCUGCAAACUAGAUGUCUCCGCUACUUUGAUCCUGCCGUCAACAGCUUCCAUUUGCUGCCUGCUCAUGAUCUCCCUCUCCGCUCCCCCAUUAGCUUGUGCUCAUCGUAGAUUGCCACGAAAAAAUGUCCACUAAGGUCCUGCUCAACAGCCUGGAGUUAUGAUUGGAUAAUAAACCUUCCUCUUGAACUCGAGUAAUUGAGAUUACAGGAGCAAAAUCGUCUGCAAUCUUCCCUGGCCCUGUUCCCUACUCCAAAUGCUGGCCACAGGUGAAAACACAAGGCUGCAGUUCUUCGACUUAGAAAAUGACAUAAUUGGAAUGAUUGAUUAUUGAUUUUACCUACUGCAUUAGAGGAGAAUACAUGAUUCUACUUCGAGUAAAAGCUCUUGCUCUAUAUUAGUAUGUACCGUAAAUCUAUUUAUUUUUAUAAUAAGACCUUCCAAUAAUUCAUACAUGAUUCUACUUGAUUAACCUAGAGGUUCUCAGGAUGUUGAUGUUGUUAUUACUUCAUAUAAGAUUAUUUACUCUCCUUUUUUUGAGCAAAUUAUUUACUCUCCUUUAGCAUCCAUUAAUUGAAAAAAAUAUUUAUUUACGACAUAGUGGUCUAUUAUGUGUCUUGUGAAGUUGUCCAGUUUGUCAACACUAAAACGCAAUUUGAUCAGGAAGUAUGAUUAUCAAAGCAAUCAUGGAGACGUGUCUUCCAAAUACAUGCCCAUUAUUAUUCCUUACUUCCGUUGAGAAAUUAAAAGUGUAAAUUGGAUAGCUUAUAGUAUGACACUCUUGCCUUUGCAGGUAUUUUUACAGCGGUGCUCUAUAACGUUAACGUAUUAGAACAGGUAUAAAUUUAGACCUUUUAUAUGGGGAAAGGUAUCCGGACGUUGAAGAGAACCAUGCAAGAGUUUUGAGUUAACCAAUUUAGGCAAUCGCCUGAUUGUCCUUUAUGUAUCGGUGGGCAAUUGGAUUUGUUGUUCUGUUAAAAGAAAUAAUCUUAAGUCAUAACUCAUAGCAUCA